rnacentral:tRNA from 1 species
GGGGUUAUAGCUCAGAGGUAGAGCAAUCACCUAGCAUGUGUGAGGCACUGGGUUCGAUCCCCAACACCACA